rnacentral:rRNA from 1 species
UGCCAGACUCCUACGGGAGGCAGCAGUGAGGAAUAUUGGUCAAUGGGCUUACGCCUGAACCAGCCAAGUCGCGUGAGGGAAGACUGCCCUAUGGGUUGUAAACCUCUUUUGUCAGGGAGCAAUUGGCGCUACGUGUAGCGUUAUCGAGAGUACCUGAAGAAAAAGCAUCGGCUAACUCCGUGCCAGCAGCCGCGGUAAUACGGAGGAUGCGAGCGUUAUCCGGAUUUAUUGGGUUUAAAGGGUGCGUAGGCGGAAUGCCAAGUCAGCGGUAAAAUCGCGGGGCUCAACCUCGCUCCGCCGUUGAAACUGGCGUUCUUGAGUGGGCGAGAAGUAUGCGGAAUGCGUGGUGUAGCGGUGAAAUGCGUAGAUAUUAGGAGGAACACCAGUGGCGAAGGCGGCUUACUGGACUGUAACUGACGUUGAGGCUCGAAAGCGUGGGGAGCAAACAGGAUUAGAUACCCGUGUA